AUUGAACGCUGGCGGCAGGCUUAACACAUGCAAGUCGAACGGUAACAGGAAGCAGCUUGCUUCUUCGCUGACGAGUGGCGGACGGGUGAGUAAUGUCUGGGAAACUCCUUGAUGGAGGGGGAUAACUACUGGAAACGGUAGCUAAUACCGCAUAACGUCGCAAGACCAAAGAGGGGGACCUUCGGGCCUCUUGCCAUCGGAUGUGCCCAGAUGGGAUUAGCUAGUAGGUGGGGUAACGGCUCACCUAGGCGACGAUCCCUAGCUGGUCUGAGAGGAUGACCAGCCACACUGGAACUGAGACACGGUCCAGACUCCUACGGGAGGCAGCAGUGGGGAAUAUUGCACAAUGGGCGCAAGCCUGAUGCAGCCAUGCCGCGUGUAUGAAGAAGGCCUUCGGGUUGUAAAGUACUUUCAGCGGGGAGGAAGGGAGUAAAGUUAAUACCUUUGCUCAUUGACGUUACCCGCAGAAGAAGCACCGGCUAACUCCGUGCCAGCAGCCGCGGUAAUACGGAGGGUGCAAGCGUUAAUCGGAAUUACUGGGCGUAAAGCGCACGCAGGCGGUUUGUUAAGUCAGAUGUGAAAUCCCCGGGCUCAACCUGGGAACUGCAUCUGAUACUGGCAAGCUUGAGUCUCGUAGAGGGGGGUAGAAUUCCAGGUGUAGCGGUGAAAUGCGUAGAGAUCUGGAGGAAU
rnacentral:rRNA from 1 species